AUUGAACGCUGGCGGCAGGCCUAACACAUGCAAGUCGAGCGGUAGAGGGGAGCUUGCUUCCCUUGAGAGCGGCGGACGGGUGAGUAAUGCCUAGGAAUCUGCCUGGUAGUGGGGGAUAACGUCCGGAAACGGACGCUAAUACCGCAUACGUCCUACGGGAGAAAGUGGGGGCUCUUCGGACCUCACGCUAUCAGAUGAGCCUAGGUCGGAUUAGCUAGUUGGUGUGGUAAUGGCGCACCAAGGCGACGAUCCGUAACUGGUCUGAGAGGAUGAUCAGCCACACUGGAACUGAGACACGGUCCAGACUCCUACGGGAGGCAGCAGUGGGGAAUAUUGGACAAUGGGCGCAAGCCUGAUCCAGCCAUGCCGCGUGUGUGAAGAAGGCCUUCGGGUUGUAAAGCACUUUCAGUAGGGAGGAAGGAUGUUGUGUUAAUAGCACAGCAUUUUGACGUUACCUACAGAAGAAGCACCGGCUAACUCUGUGCCAGCCGCCGCAGUAAAAC
rnacentral:rRNA from 1 species